rnacentral:lncRNA from 1 species
AUUUCCUUUCUUUUGGGUAUACACCUAGGAGUGCAAUUGCUGGCAGUUACGUAAUUUAGAUGUCACAUACGUCAGAGUCCCCAAGACCACCCCCAGGUUGUGCGAUUUCACUUGAAGGACCACAGGACUCGGCAUGUGGUUGUCCCAAUGGCUAACAUUUAUCCCAGUGAAAGGAUACAAAUCAAAAUCAGCCAAGUUUAGAAAACCAGGCGAGGCUUCCCAGAAUCCUGUCCCAGCGGAGUCAGGGCGUGUGCUUCAUUCCUCUUACUAGUUGUGACAACACAUACAAAGUGUUCUCAUUCGGGAAAGCUCCUUAGAGACUUGGCACCCAGAGAUUUUACUGGAGGCUGGUCACAUAGGCAUCCUCUGCCUGGCAUGUACCAGAAUUCCAGCAGGAAAGCAGACGUGCAGUACACACCACAUUGUUUGCACAAGCAGCCCAGGAGUGGUGAGUUACCCUCACCGUUUCCGGUAAGUUUUAUAUCCAUGUAGGGAACUGUUUACCAUUUGUGUACCCGGGCACUGGCCAAGGCCAAACCUUGCAAGCCGCCUUUCCUAAGGGAAGGUCUCAGGCCUGCUGUGUGAACCCUUAUCUGCACCUCAUAAGUCUUUCUACUGCAGAGCAAAAUGAAACAAAAUAAUAAAAACUAUUCAUUAGUAGGAACAACCAUAUAAGUAAAUAAUUAUACUUUAGGGUAAAUGGCUGAUUUCGCCUUGCUUAUUUUUUUUAAGGAAGAUUGAUAUGCCCUUUGUCGAUG